rnacentral:rRNA from 1 species
GGCCGCGGGAAUUCGAUUCAGGCCUAACACAUGCAAGUCGAGCGGGGAUAGGGUGCUUGCACCUGAUUCCUAGCGGCGGACGGGUGAGUAAUGCUUAGGAAUUUGCCUAUUAGUGGGGGACAACGUUCCGAAAGGGACGCUAAUACCGCAUACGUCCUACGGGAGAAAGCAGGGGAUCUUCGGACCUUGCGCUAAUAGAUGAGCCUAAGUCGGAUUAGCUAGUUGGUGGGGUAAAGGCCUACCAAGGCGACGAUCUGUAGCGGGUCUGAGAGGAUGAUCCGCCACACUGGGACUGAGACACGGCCCAGACUCCUACGGGAGGCAGCAGUGGGGAAUAUUGGACAAUGGGGGGAACCCUGAUCCAGCAAGGCCGCGUGUGUGAAGAAGGCCUUUUGGUUGUAAAGCACAUGAAGCGAGGAGGAGGCUUACCUGGUUAAUACCUGGGAUAAGUGGACGUACUCGCAGA